GGCCCCGCACAAGCGGUGGAGCAUGUGGUUUAAUUCGAUGCAACGCGAAGAACCUUACCAGGACUUGACAUACUACAAAUUCUUUUGAGAAAAAUGAAGUGCCUUCGGGAAUGUAGAUACAGGUGGUGCAUGGCUGUCGUCAGCUCGUGUCGUGAGAUGUUGGGUUAAGUCCCGCAACGAGCGCAACCCUUAUUUUUAGUUACCAAUUCGUUGGGUUCUCUAGAAAGACUGCCGGUGACAAACCGGAGGAAGGUGAGGAUGACGUCAAGUCAGCAUGCCCCUUAUGUCCUGGGCUACACACGUGCUACAAUGGUUAAGACAAAGAGUCGCGAGCUCGCAAGAGUCAGCUAA
rnacentral:rRNA from 1 species